GGAUGAUGCCAUGGGUACUUCUCUGAGACACCGAUCCCUCAGCCACCGUCUAAGCCACCCAGCACCGCCGCCCAGCUCGGUGCUCGACGGCCCCCAUGCCUACCUCCACCGCCGCUGCUCCGCCGCCUCACCGCGCUCUAUCCAUUGCGGACGAUCCUCGCGCCUGGAAGGACGACGAGUCGGUGGACAACAGCAAAUGCAGCUUUUUAGUGGUAGCUCUCUGUCCCUGUCUCGUCUGCUUCAUUUUGCUUCUCAUCGUUCUGUCUAUCGUCCUCAUUGUGAAGUUUCGUAUCUUUUGUCACGUUCACACUCUCUCCGCUCUGUUCUACAAGAAAAAUUGCUAGCUCCCAGCCCUAGGGGGUUGCAUUCAGUUUCUCUUACUUUUAAUUUGCGUGAAAAAUUGUCUGAUUUGAAUUUCAGUGGGUUUUCGUCCCUUUUCCUAUUGUCCAAUUAUGAACUGCAUGAAAAGGCAUUGAAGUUCAAUUCCAGAGGUUUUGCUGGGGUUUCACGCUGGCACAAGGUUGGUUUAGGAGAAAAAAUGAUAAUUUUGAACUGUAGGGGGUUUUCUGGGGUUCCCAAUGGUGAUUCAGUUUCUGGUACUGAGCUCGAUGGUGAGGAAGGUGGUGGGGAGAUUGAUGAUGAUGAUGAUGAUGGCGGUGACUGGAAUGUGUGUGAGGAUGUUAAUGUUAAAUCAGAAGCAGAUCCUGAAGAGGUUGCUAGAGUCUGUAAGGUUAUUGAAGAAUUGUUCGCAUUGGAUCGGAAUAUGGAGGCAGUUUUAGACGAAUGUGUGGUUAAUUUAUCACAUGAUCUGGUGGUAGAUGUGCUUGAAAAGUUCCGUCAUGCUAGGAAGCCAGCAUUUCGUUUUUUCAACUGGGCAGGGCAAAAGCCUGGGUAUUCUCAUGAUUCAAGGACUUGUAAUAAGAUGAUGGAGAUACUUGGCAGGACAAAACAGUUUGAGACCAUGAUGGCUUUGCUCGAGGAGAUGGGUGAAAAAGGGCUUCUCACAAUGGAGACAUUUACAAUUGCAAUUAAAGCUUUUGCUGCUGCAAGGGAGAGGAAGAAAGCUGUUGGGAUAUUUGAGUUGAUGAAGAGGUAUAAGUUUCGGGCAGGUGUUGAUACCAUCAAUUAUUUGCUUGAUAACCUUGGUAGGGCAAAACUUGGUAAGGAAGCUCAGGCCCUAUUUGAGAUGCUCAAGGAUAGAUUUUCACCAGAUUUACGGACUUAUUCAGUAUUGCUUAAUGGAUGGUGCAGGGUAAAAAACUUGCUGGAGGCUGGAAAGAUAUGGAAUGAAAUGAUUGAUAAGGGUUUUAAGCCUGAUAUUAUUGCCCAUAACACAAUGCUUGAAGGGUUGCUAAGGUGUAGAAAGAAGUCUGAUGCGAUUAAGUUGUUUGAGGUCAUGAAGGCUAAGGGCCCAUCUCCGAAUGUUCGAAGCUAUACCAUUUUGAUCAGGGACUUAUGCAAGCAAACAAAGAUGAAAGAAGCUAUUGAAUACUUUGAUGAAAUGCUUAAUUAUGGCUGCCAGCCGGAUGCUGCUGUUUACACAUGCUUGAUCACUGGGUUUGGAAACCUGAAGAAGAUGGACAAGGUGUAUGGGUUGUUGAAGGAAAUGAAGGAGAAGGGUUGCCCACCAGACGGACGGACCUACAAUGCUUUGAUCAAAUUGAUGACUAAUCGGAAAAUGCCAGAUGAUGCAGUUAGGAUUUACAAGAAGAUGGUUCAGAGUGGCAUUCAGCCAACUAUCCAUACCUAUAACAUGAUGAUGAAAUCAUAUUUUUUCACAAGAAACUAUGAAAUGGGUUGUGCAGUUUGGGAGGAGAUGGGGCGGAAGGGGUGUUGUCCUGAUGAUAAUUCUUAUACUGUUUUUAUUGGAGGGCUUAUAAGGCAUGGACGGUCAGAAGAAGCUUGUAAGUAUCUGGAGGAGAUGAUAGAUAAAGGAAUGAAAACUCCUCAGCUUGAUUACAAUAAGUUUGCAGCUGAUUUCUCUAGGGCUGGGAAACCUGACAUAUUGGAGGAGUUGGCUCAAAAGAUGAAGUUCUCUGGUAAAUUUGAAGUCUCCAAUGUCUUUGCCAGAUGGGCUGAAAUGAUGAAGAGAAGGGUCAAGAGAAGAGAUCAUGUUAAACUUGACAGGCAGUGUGCUUGAGUUUCAAAGAUUUCAAGGAUUACACUGGUACUAAGAGGGAUUGAUUACUCUCACUUACACUGGUUGGCUAAAUUAUCACAACCCCGAUGACAUUGGUGGUUUAAAGAUCUGCUAAUUGUUCUUUGUCGUGACACACCCAUGGACAUCAAUGGCUUGCGAGGUCGGUGCAGCCCGUUCCCUUGGUCAUCAAUCAGUUCUUUUGGCCUUUCCUCAAAGAUCAGUGAAGCCAUAUUAAAAGGCACUGCUGAGGAAUGAGAGGACCUCAGAGUCACUGCUGAGCUUACUGUCCAGAACUGUCAGGCCGAAGUCCCCCUAAUUAUGAUCAAGUGUGCACACUAAUGUUGGACAGAUCGAAACAGAGGGAGAACCGAGGGAGAGAGAGAAGGAGAGAAGGAGAGAGAAGAAGGGAGAAGAAAAGAGACUGCUGCUGAACAGAACCGGGAGUAGAACAGAGUAGACAAAGAGGCAACAGAAAUCAGAUAAGAACAGAGUGAGAAACAGAAAGAGAAGGGAAGGAGAGGAAGAAGAAGAAGAAGAAGAGAAGAGGGAGAAGGUGCAUGAGAGAGAGGGAAAACCAAACUGUAUUCUGUUUCAAAUUUGAUGACUAUUUUAUACAACACAACUGCCCAAGAUUACAUAA